ensembl:lncRNA
GCUUACACUCAAGAUCCCUGUGACACUCCAGUACUUUCAGCCAUACCCAGAUCCUCUGCAACACACUCAGGACGCCAGCUGCCCUGGCUAUGGCUGUCACACCGCAUCCCUGUGACACUCAGACGCCAGCUACACCGCAUCCCUGCGACACUCAGACGCCAGCUACAACACAUCCCUGCGACACUGAGAUGCUGCCACCUGGCUGGGCUGCCACGCACAAGAUCCCUGUGACACUUCAGACUCCAGCUACCCGGGCUGUGGCCGUCACACCGCAUCCCUGCGACACUCAGACGCCAGCUACCCGGGCUGUGGCCGUCACACCGCAUCCCUGUGACACUCAGACGCCAGCUACACCGCAUCCCUGCGACACUCAGACGCCAGCUACCCGGGCUAUGGCCGUCACGCCGCAUCCCUGUGACACUCAGACGCCAGCUACCCGGGCUGUGGCCGUCACACCAAAUCCCUGCGACACUCAGACGCCAGCUACCCGGGCUGUGGCCGUCACGCUGCAUCCCUGUGACACUCAGAUGCCAGCUAACGUGUUCUAAUAAAAGUAAGCAUCGCUGGCCGGGCGCGGGGGCUCACGCUUGUAAUCCCAGCACUUUGGGAGGCCGGGGCAGGCGCGUCACCUGAGGUCAGGAGUUCGAGACCAGCCUGGCCAACAUGGAGAAACCCAAUCUCUACUAAAAAUACAAAAUUAGAUGAGCACUGUGGCAUGCACCUGUAAUCCCAGCUACUAGGGAGGCUGAGGCAGGAGAAUCACUUGAACCCGGGAGGCAGAGGUUGCGGUGAGCGGAGAUCACCCCAUUGCAUUCCAGCCUGGGCAACAAGAGCGAAAGUCUAUCUCAAAAAAAAAAAAAAAAAAAGCAUCACUUUUAAAGACAAAAUACCAACAUGAUAUGAACUGCUGAAACAUUCUCUGAUUUCAUGGUUAAUAAGAAAAAGACAGCAGAACGCCAGUGCACUUGGUUUCUGGAGAGAACCACUGUCAGGAGGCCGUGUUGACAAGGACGUUGGAGGAACUCAGCCGCAAGCACCAAGCAGACUCCUGGACAAAAAGAAGCCGCAGCUCCAAACUGAUGGGUGGUGAAGAGUACAUUCCCUUUGGCUGGCACAGUGAGGGAAAAAGACCAGAGUUUUAUGUUUAGGUUAGAGGAGACUCACACGUACGGUGCUAACGAUAACAGUGACCGAUGAGUAAGCACGUUCUACACGAUGCUAUUCCAAUAGCCCUGAAGACAGGUCUUCAUAUUAACCCCUUUCUACAGAGGGGACACCAAGGCUUAGAAGUGGAAAUCCCUGGGCCGGGCGCGGUGGCUCAAGCCUGUAAUCCCAGCACUUUGGGAGGCCGAGACGGGCGGAUCACGAGGUCAGGAGAUCGAGACCAUCCUGGCUAACACGGUGAAACCCCGUCUCUAUUAAAUACAAAAAAACUAGCCGGGCGAGGUGGCGGGCGCCUGUAGUCCCAGCUACUUGGGAGGCUGAGGCCGGAGAAUGGCGUGAACCCGGGAGGCGGAGCUUGCAGUGAGCUGAGAUCCGGCCACUGCACUCCAGCCUGGGUGACAGAGCGAGACUCCGUCUCAAAAAAAAAAAAAAAAAAGAAGUGGAAAUCCCUUUCCAAAGUUAUCCCAGUGGUAAAAACAGCACGGGGGUUUGAACCCGGGCCUUUCUGGCUGCAGGGUCCUUGUGCCUGUCCCACACCCUACGGUGUCACUGUCUCCCGGGAGACCCUAAAGGGCAGGGGGAGCCACAGAGCAGAGCGGACAGCCUCCGGUUCUAGUGCCCGAUGUGUGCACGUCGAUACAUUAAAGCCCUGUCGCUGGGCAGAUGGACGAGGGGUGUAUGUCCAGGGAAAUACCUGUGUGCUUUGAGUAGUAACAAGCCCAGACUGUCAAAAUGAAGAACUGAGGACACAUCGUUGGGCCCAUCGAAUUCUGAAUCAGCUGUGAAAGUAGAAGAAAUAAUUCGCUCCAAGAGAAGGUGUUGACUUGUCCAAGACAGAAUUUGCUGUCUCUUCCUCUAGAAAUCAGAAGUGUUCAAACCCGGAGUUCUACUGAAAUACCCUAAAUUGGCAGUGCUUUUUUGUGGUAAUUUAAUCCGUAGCUGAAGCUGAAACGCCCGGCUUUUCGCAAAACGCAGUUUGCAGUCUGAGAUCCAACACUGCAAAAAGUGUGGCCGGUUCUUCAUCCUCAUAAAAUAAUCAACAUUUUCCAGCUACUCCGUCACAUCAGCUCAAACUCCACCUGGAAAACUCCACCUGGAUCUGGUGCUGUACACCCUUGACCACCCCAAAAUUUCCCCCGUGUUCAUGGAAGACGAUUGACUCCAGAAUGGAACAUGAAGCACAUGCUGAGACAUCAGCAGCACCAAGUAAGCACUCACUGUGGGCCAGGCCUGUCUCUGGACAGCUGCGCUCCCUCCAGACUCCUCGGUCCUACAGGUAAGUUCCACUUCGCCCCUGCUUUGCAGAGGAUGGAAAGUGAAGCAGAAAAGCCGAGUCACUUCCCAAGAUCACAGGACAGAGCUCAGAGCCCUGUCACUCCCUGUGUUGCUGCCUUCCCGUGUCACGAUGAGUAACUGCCUGAACAGAAGCGCCUGACUUGCUGCGUUUGUCCCAGCGGAGGGAUCACUGUUGGCUGCAAAUGGGUGUCUAAGACAGUCCUUUAAACGUGAACAUGGAGAAAAGGAGAAUUGCUAAAAACAUUGCUGGAAAACGUUGCCCAUAUAAACGUCUGUCUGAAAGAGCAACUUAGCCAGAGCGAAACUGUCCACUAAAUCAAAGGCAACUGGCACAACUAAAUGGUGUAGAAGCAAAUAUUUCAUUUUCAGCUCAAAGAAUAUCACCGCAAAAAUAUGUUCAUUCUGGGUUAUCGAUGCAUUUUCUAAAAGAAGAUCAUUCUGAAAACACACUAAUAAAGGUAAAUAUAUGCUGUUUCAAUCCCAACGGACACAAACAGUCCAAGGAGUCGAGGACCAAUCAUGUUUGCAAACUCCUGGCCCACAUGUCCUCCCUCAAACACAGACGUUAAUGUCUUACUCAGUGUACUAAGAAAUAUGUCCUCUUUGCUGAGUCUUUAAAAUCAAGUGGCUUAUGAAAUAAACCUCCGAUCCAGUAAGAGCUCUUGGCCUUAUCAACUCAUAUUGAAAAUAUGCACAAGG